UAGGGAAUAUUAGUAAUGGGCGAAAGCCUGAACUAGCAACGCCGCGUGUGCGAAGAAGGCCUUCGGGUCGUAAAGCACUUUUUGAGAGGAUGAGGAAGGACGGUACUCUCAGAAUAAGUCUCGGCUAACUACGUGCCAGCAGCCGCGGUAACACGUAGGAGGCAAACGUUAUCCGGAUUUACUGGGCGUAAAGCGCGUGUAGGUGGUUUGGUAAGUAGGGCGUGAAAGCUCCUGGCUCAACUGGGAGAGGACGUUCUAAACUGCCAAGCUUGAGGAUGGUAGAGGGAGGUGUAAUUCCGGGUGUAGCGGUGGAAUGCGCAGAUAUCCGGAGGAACACCAGUGGCGAAGGCGGCCUCCUGGGACCACUCCUGACACUCAGACGCGAAAGCUAGGGUAGCAA
rnacentral:rRNA from 1 species